UGACUGAGAAGAGAGAAGGGGUAGUAGACAGCACAAUAGGUUAGUUUAGGGAUAGGUGUGUGGAGGGGAGAAAUCAGGGUGAUUUGCUUGCUGAGAAGACAGAGUGGUUCCUGGAGGCAAAGCCUGCUCACGUGAAAAAAGAAGCCUACUUCUACCAAAGCCUUGGCAAGCAAGUGAUGCUAGCACUUGGAAAAUGAACCACACAUUGAAGGGAAUGGAGCUCAUCGAGUUAACAACCUGACUUGCUUGUUCAGCUGUAGACUGUAAUAGUUAACAUUUAUUGAGCGCAAACGGUGACUUGAGGACUCCUCUAAGCAUCUCACAUAUAUUAAAUGAUGAAUUAAUUAAAUGCUUAUAAUAGUCCUAUGAUCUUGGUGCUAUCAUGUAUACACUUUAAAGUUGAGGAAUCUGUAGCACAAAUGCUUAUACCCCAGAUCAUUCAGGUGGUUUGGGUUCACUUUUAACCACUAAUCCAUGCCACCUUUCUACUGAUUUUCUCUGCACCUUUUUUGAGUACUGAAUUUAUCCUAGGAGAAGUCUAUACCCUACUUCUACCACCACUGUCUAAAUAAAGAUGGAGAAGGACUGAGGUUUUAUACAGCAAAAAGAGAAGGUGCUUUUUCUUAAUUUUGGGGCAGUGGAAUUUUCUGGGUUGAUAACAAAGCUCAGCACUGCCACAAUUUUUCAUUAUUGGGAAAUGUGGUUCAGCUGUCCUGUCCCAGAGUGCCUAGUUAGCAUAGCAGAUCUGUCAGCGUCUGCAUAAGGGGAAAGCUUCCACUCCUCAAGAGCGAUAUUAAGAUCAAUUCUGCUUGGUUCACUCAUGCUCCUGGAAGGUGGGAAUUUUGUCUUCUUUUGUGUGUUCCUCAUGGUACUAAGUCACUGCUCAUUAAAUGCCUGAUGACUUGAACUCAAACCCUGUGGUAGGAGGAUUUGAACAGCCCACUCUCCUGGACUCAGAGAGAAGUUUUUUCACACCUCUUCCAAAGACACUGAUGCCGGAAGCAUGCUUUGGGCCAUAUGUAAGAAGCAGCUAGUGCAAAGAUAGCCUUGCCCGUGUAUUCCCAAAGGCCUUUAAAGGGCAGAGAGUUUGUUUACCAUGAAGAGGUUGGAGAAGCCUGUUAGCGUCCAAUGACAGGAGAACAGAGAAUCACAGAAGAAAUCCAAUAAUUAAACCACUCUGCCUGGCAAGCAACCCAUUGGAAAGUAAUGGCUCUGGAGAAGAAGUUGGUAGGGGCACUUAAUUAUUGCAGUCUUUAAUUCAGUGUGAGUUGCCUGAACACUGAGAGUUUGAUCAGUAUGUGUUAAUCUAGUUAAAAUAGGUACUUUUUCUCAAAAUAAACUGGGUAUACAAUGUAUGCA
ensembl:lncRNA